rnacentral:rRNA from 1 species
AUGGCUCAGAACGAACGCUGGCGGCGUGCUUAACACAUGCAAGUCGAACGCGAAAGGGACUUCGGUCCUGAGUAAAGUGGCGCACGGGUGAGUAACGCGUAGAUAACCUGUCUUUAUGUCUGGAAUAAUACGCCGAAAGGGGUACUAAUACCGGAUAUUUUUGCAUUGCAUAAGCAGUGUAAGCAAAGGUGGCCUCUGACAUAAGCUACUGCAUAAAGAGGGGUCUGCGUACCAUUAGCUAGUAGGUGGGGUAAAGGCCUACCUAGGCUACGAUGGUUAGCGGGUCUGAGAGGAUGAUCCGCCACACUGGCACUGGAACACGGGCCAGACUCCUACGGGAGGCAGCAGUGAGGAAUAUUGCGCAAUGGGGGCAACCCUGACGCAGCGACGCCGCGUGAAGUGAGGAAGGCCUUCGGGUCGUAAAGCUCUGUCAAAGGGAAAGAAGUGCAUGGUGGUUAAUACCUGCCAUGUUUGACGGUACCCUUAAAGGAAGCACCGGCUAACUCCGUGCCAGCCGCCGC